GGGAAACCUUAGCUAAUACCGCAUAAUACCCACGGGUCAAAGGAGCAAUUCGCUCGAGGAGGGGGUCGCGGCCGAUUAGUUAGUUGGCGGGGUAAUGGCCCACCAAGACGAUGAUCGGUAUCCGGCCUGAGAGGGCGCACGGACACACUGGAACUGAAACACGGUCCAGACUCCUACGGGAGGCAGCAGUGGGGAAUUUUGCGCAAUGGGGGAAACCCUGACGCAGCAACGCCGCGUGGAGGAUGAAGUCCUUCGGGACGUAAACUCCUUUCGAUCGGGACGAUUAUGACGGUACCGGAAGAAGAAGCCCCGGCUAACUUCGGCCAGCAGCCGCGGUAAUACGAGGGGGGCGAGCGUUUUCGGAAUUAUUGGGCGUAAAGGGUGCGUAGGCGGUUUGGUAAGUCUUGUGUGAAAUCUAUGGGCUCAACUCAUAGUCUGCACGAGAAACUGCCGGGCUUGAGUGUGGGAGAGGUGAGUGGAAUUUCCGGUGUAGCGGUGAAAUGCGUAGAUAUC
rnacentral:rRNA from 1 species